CUCAGAAACUCAAAGGAAUUGACGGGGGCCCGCACAAGCGGUGGAGCAUGUGGUUUAAUUCGAAGCAACGCGAAGAACCUUACCAGGCCUUGACAUGCAGAGAACUUUCCAGAGAUGGAUUGGUGCCUUCGGGAACUCUGACACAGGUGCUGCAUGGUUGUCGUCAGCUCGUGCCGUGAGGUGUCGGGUUAAGUCCCAUAACGAGCGCAACCCCUAUCAUUAGUUGCCAUCAGGUUAAGCUGGGGACUCUAAAGGAACUGCCUACGCAAGUAGUGAGGAAGGCGGGGAUGACGUCAAAUCAGCACGGCCCUUACGUCCAGGGCUACACACGUGCUACAAUGGCCGAUACAGAGGGCAGCUACCUGGUGACAGGAUGCAAAUCUCCAAAGUCGGUCUCAGUUCGGAUCGGAGUCUGCAACCCGACUCCGUGAAGUUGGAUUCGCUAGUAAUCGCGCAUCAGCCAUGGCGCGGUGAAUACGUUCCCGGGCCUU
rnacentral:rRNA from 1 species